rnacentral:rRNA from 1 species
AAGCCUGGGAAACUGGGUCUAAUACCGGAUAUGACCGACUGUCGCAUGGUGGUUGGUGGAAAGCUUUUGCGGUGUGGGAUGGGCCCGCGGCCUAUCAGCUUGUUGGUGGGGUAAUGGCCUACCAAGGCGACGACGGGUAGCCGACCUGAGAGGGUGAUCGGCCACACUGGGACUGAGACACGGCCCAGACUCCUACGGGAGGCAGCAGUGGGGAAUAUUGCACAAUGGGCGCAAGCCUGAUGCAGCGACGCCGCGUGAGGGAUGACGGCCUUCGGGUUGUAAACCUCUUUCACCAGGGACGAAGCGUGAGUGACGGUACCUGGAGAAGAAGCACCGGCCAACUACGUGCCAGCAGCCGCGGUAAUACGUAGGGUGCGAGCGUUGUCCGGAAUUACUGGGCGUAAAGAGCUCGUAGGCGGUUUGUCGCGUCGUCUGUGAAAUUCUGCAACUCAAUUGCAGGCGUGCAGGCGAUACGGGCAGACUUGAGUACUACAGGGGAGACUGGAAUUCCUGGUGUAGCGGUGAAAUGCGCAGAUAUCAGGAGGAACACCGGUGGCGAAGGCGGGUCUCUGGGUAGUAACUGACGCUGAGGAGCGAAAGCGUGGGUAGCGAACAGGAUUAGAUACCCUGGUAGUCCACGCCGUAAACGGUGGGUACUAGGUGUGGGUUCCUUUUCACGGGAUCCGUGCCGUAGCUAACGCAUUAAGUACCCCCGCCUGGGGAGUACGGGCCGCAAGGCUAAAAACUCAAAGGAAUUGACGGGGGGCCCCGCACAAGCGGGCGGAGCAUGUGGGAUUUAAUUUCGAUGGCAACGCC